GUGGGUUAUGGAGAUUUGUCUCCAAAAACAUUUCUGGGAAAGAUCACGUGCUGUGUGUGUGCACUAUGUGGAAUAUUCAUGAUGUCAAUGAUUAUUCCAAUUUUUGUUGAUAC
rnacentral:sRNA from 1 species